rnacentral:rRNA from 1 species
GUGCUGUGAGACUGGUCGAGUCGGCCUGCGCGGAAGAUGUAACGGGGCUAAACCAUGCACCGAAGCUGCGGCAGCGACGCUUAUGCGUUGUUGGGUAGGGGAGCGUUCUGUAAGCCUGUGAAGGUGUGCUGUGAGGCAUGCUGGAGGUAUCAGAAGUGCGAAUGCUGACAUAAGUAACGAUAAAGCGGGUGAAAAGCCCGCUCGCCGGAAGACCAAGGGUUCCUGUCCAACGUUAAUCGGGGCAGG